CAGUCGAACGGUAACAUUUCUAGCUUGCUAGAAGAUGACGAGUGGCGGACGGGUGAGUAAUGCUUGGGAACUUGCCUUUGCGAGGGGGAUAACAGUUGGAAACGACUGCUAAUACCGCAUAAUGUCUUCGGACCAAACGGGGCUUCGGCUCCGGCGCAAAGAGAGGCCCAAGUGAGAUUAGCUAGUUGGUAAGGUAACGGCUUACCAAGGCUACGAUCCGUAGCUGGUCUGAGAGGAUGAUCAGCCACAUCGGGACUGAGACACGGCCCGAACUCCUACGGGAGGCAGCAGUGGGGAAUAUUGGACAAUGGGGGCAACCCUGAUCCAGCCAUGCCGCGUGUGUGAAGAAGGCUUUCGGGUUGUAAAGCACUUUCAGUAGGGAGGAAAACCUUAUGGCUAAUACCCAUGAGGCUUGACGUUACCUACAGAAGAAGCACCGGCUAACUCCGUGCCAGCAGCCGCGGUAAUACGGAGGGUGCAAGCGUUAAUCGGAAUUACUGGGCGUAAAGCGCGCGUAGGUGGUUUGGUAAGCGAAAUGUGAAAGCCCCGGGCUUAACCUGGGAACGGCAUUUCGAACUGUCAGGCUAGAGUGUGGUAGAGGGUAGUGGAAUUUCCUGUGUAGCGGUGAAAUGCGUA
rnacentral:rRNA from 1 species